rnacentral:rRNA from 1 species
UCAGAUCACGUAAGAAUUUAAAAGUCGAACAGACUUAAAUUUUUAAAUUACUGCACCUAAAAUUUUUCUUAAUCCAACAUCGAGGUCGCAAUCUUUUUUAUUGAUAAGAACUCUCCAAAAAAAUUACGCUGUUAUCCCUAAAGUAACUUAAUUUUUUAAUCAUUAUAUAUGGAUCAAAUAAUCAUAAAUAAAUGUUUUUAAAAAUUAAAAGUUUAUUAAAUUUUAAUAUCACCCCAAUAAAAUAUUUAAAUAUAAUAUAAAUAAAAAUAUCUUAAUAAUUCAUUUAAAAAUAAAUAUAAAGAUUUAUAGGGUCUUCUCGUCUUUUAAAUAUAUUUUAGCUUUUUUACUAAAAUAUAAAAUUCUAAAAUAAUUUAUAUGAAACAGCUUAUAUUUCGUCCAACCAUUCAUUCUAGCCUUCAAUUAAAAGACUAAUGAUUAUGCUACCUUUGCACAGUUAAAAUACUGCGGCCAUUUAAAAUUANGGGGCAGGUUAAACUUUAAAUAAAAUUCUAAACGACAUG